rnacentral:rRNA from 1 species
AUUGAACGCUGGCGGCAUGCCUUACACAUGCAAGUCGAACGGUAACGCGGGGCAACCUGGCGACGAGUGGCGAACGGGUGAGUAACGCAUCGGAACGAGCCCAGUCGUGGGGGAUAGCCCGGCGAAAGCCGGAUUAAUACCGCAUAGGACAUACGGGGGAAAGGGGGGGGAUCGCAAGGCCGCUCACUAUUGGAGCGGCCGAUGUCAGAUUAGUUAGUUGGUGGGGUAAAGGCCUACCAAGCCGACGAUCUGUAGCUGGUCUGAGAGGACGACCAGCCACACUGGGACUGAGACACGGCCCAGACUCCUACGGGAGGCAGCAUUGGGGAAUUUUGGACAAUGGACGAAAGCCUGAGCCAGCCAUGCCGCGUGCGGGAAGAAGGCCUUCGGGUUGUAAACCGCUUUUGUCAGGGAAGAAAUCUUCUGGGUUAAUACCUCGGGAGGAUGACGGUACCUGAAGAAUAAGCACCGGCUAACUAUGUGCCAGCAGCCGCAGUAA